rnacentral:rRNA from 1 species
UACGGAGGGUGCGAGCGUUGUCCGGAAUCACUGGGCGUAAAGGGCUCGUAGGCGGCCAACUAAGUCAGACGUGAAAUCCCUCGGCUUAACCGGGGAACUGCAUCUGAUACUGGAUGGCUUGAGUUCGGGAGAGGGAUGCGGAAUUCCAGGUGUAGCGGUGAAAUGCGUAGAUAUCUGGAGGAACACCGGUGGCGAAGGCGGCAUCCUGGACCGGCACUGACGCUGAGGAGCGAAAGCCAGGGGAGCAAACGGG